AGGCGGCAGGACAUGCUGACAGUGACCCUCCCUGUGCUGCUCAGGGACCCCGCAGGUAUGGCCCGCACAGCGGCCGAGUAUGUCCAACAAAAACUAUUGACUGUUUGCAAGAACUCAGUUACAGACGAUAUUCCUCGUUGGGCCAAAGAUAGAGAUUCCUUGAGCUGCAUCACACGGGAGCGAAAUUUAUUCGCAUAUAAGCAAGUAAGAGUCAUCCACUUCUCAUGAGAAGUUUCACACGUCGCAAUGAGUGGAAUAACUGUCUUAGAGACGAAGGAAAAAAUGGCAUAAAGGAUCAACUUGUCUUGCCGUAGCCAAUGGGAGUGGACAACCGUUGGUGCAUCAUCUUGAGAGAAGGAGACCGUAGUCAGACGCCUAACUGUUCCAUUGAUAUAUCCUAUUAGGUCAUAACCAAUAAGAAGAGAAACAAACUGAGCAUGUCAAGAUGGAAAGUUCAUUGGCGUGAGUUUGAGAAGAAGCUGAGAGGAUGCAUUUACAGCCACUAGAAGUGUAGUGGUACUGGCAGUAAUUGGAGUGUGUAAGACAAGAUGAAUGGAGGAACUAGGUUCUGCCAUGAGGAGAAGCCAGAGGAUCCUUUGUUGUUCGUGGGAACUAAGGAAGCUCUAAUACCAUAUAGAAGAAGGAGAUGAUAUUUUCUUUACCGCACUCAAUGAGAGAUUACAAGGGUGAAUUAUAUAGGUGAAGAGAUAAGGCUAUCGAGCUGUUCUGAAGGAUACGAUAAGGGUGGCUGUUACAUUGCUAUCGAGUCGUUGUAGAUAAGCCUCAUGAGAUACCAAGAGAUCAUGAAGAUCCUCAAAGGAAAAAUGUUUCUCCCUAGCACGGAUAGGUGCCACAAUGUCCCGAAAUUGGAACCCAGUCUAUUGAGGAUGUAAAGUGUGAGAUCAUCCAGAGACAAUGGAGUGUUAAUAGCAGCAAGCUUAUCAGCAAAACCAUUGACUGUUUGCAAGAACUCAGUUACAGACGAUAUUACUCGUUGGGCCAAAGAUAGAGAUUCCUUUAGCUGCAUCACACAGGAGCGGGAUUUAUUCGCAUAUAAGCGAGUAGGAGUCAUCCACGCCUCAUGAGAAGUUUCACACGUCGCAAUGAGUGGAAUAACUGUCUUAGAUAUGGAGGAAAAAAUGGCAUGAAGGAUCAACUUGUCCUGCCGUAGCCAAUGGGAGUGGACAACCACUGGUGCAUCGUCUUGAGAGGAGACCGUAGCCAGAUGCCUAACUGUUCCAUUGAUAUAUCCCAUUAGAUCAUAACCAAUAAGAAGAGAAACAAACUGAGCACGCCAAGAUGGAAAGUUCAUCGGCGUGAGUUUGAGAGGAAGCUGAGAGCAUGCAUUUACAACCACUAGAAGUGUGGUGGUACUGGCACAAACUGGAGUGUGUAAGACAAGAUGAAUGGAGGAACUGGAAUCUGCCAUGAGGAGAAGUCAGAGGAUCCUUUGUUGUUCGUGGGAACUAAGGAGGCUCUGAUACCAUAUAGAAGAAGGAGAUGAUAUUUUAUUUACCGCACUCAAUGAGAGAUUACAAGGGUGAAUUAUAUAGGUGAAGAGAUAAGGCUAUCGAGCUGUUUUGAAGGAUACGAUAAGGAUGGUUGUUACAACUGAAAUAAUAGUUUACAUAUAAGAGUUAUCAGAUAGAACAUACCGAGGAAGGAGAGAGAAAGAGUUGUUAUAGGUAACAACUCUUCUUGGAGUAUAUUCAGUAUAAAAGUGUCUAAGAUAUAUUUUCAAGUUAUCCUUGUGCAUGCGUCUUUCUAUUUUUUUCUAUUCAAAACACUACGGAGAGAAUAGAAUAAUUUCCUUAUUUUUAAUAAUUUCUCUUCAUGAAUAUUCUUUCCAUUGCCAAACAAAGGAAGGAACACUUUAUUCUUACUAUUUUUGUAUCAUCUCGCAAUCUUAUCGGCCAAACAAAGCUUACAUUUCUUGCCCCAUAGGAUGGGUGAUGUUAUGUUAAAAAAAUAUAUUUAGGGUUUGUAAAGCAAAUAGAGAACACGCACAAAAAGAAACAAGGAUUUUUGAGUUUUAGCCUAUGGUUUAUAUUCAUAGGCAGAGAUGAUCAAACGAAGCUCACUAAUAGUAGAGUACAGUGGAAGAAAAAUCCUCGAUAAAAAGCUCUCAAACUUUCUAGCGUAGACCUCCGGCCCUCCAUAGUGGGUCUCAGCCCCCAAGCUGCAAGCCCGAGAAAGGCUCUUUUACUGAUAUAUUCUCUAAAUACAAGACACACCAUAUAUAUAGAUGGGAACUGGGAAUUAUUGUGCCUUUGCCUCCAUCACUCUCAUCACCAGAGAUAUGACCUAAAGCAUGCUCCAUUUUAGGUGAGAGCAGCAGUUUGGUGGUGAUGCCAUUGGAGCACCUAGGCCCUUAUAUUUGAGAUCAUGUGUAUUUGUUAUAGGGACUGAAUGACAUGAAAAUACUGAAGGAUCACCUAUUCUUGUGUAAUUUCUGAGAUUUUUCUCCAUUGUUAUAUGUCUCCAACAACCCUUAAGUACAGCAAAAUUAUCCUGCAGUGAACCUGAAUUUAGAAUGUCCUAACAGAAACUCACCAUCAAUAACAUGUAAAAUAUUUUCAAUGUUAGAAACUUUCGGCUGUUCAAACUCAAACGUGAUCUGUGGUUCAUUACCUUGGGAGACAUUCGAUUGUCCUACACAAGUACUGCCAUCAAGAUGCAUGUCAGUCCUGGCCCACGUAUGUCGUAAAUGAUUGCAGAAACAAUGAGCUGAGCUCUCUUUCUUUAUGGGCUCCUUGACAACACUAUAGAAAAAUGGAUCUUUCCCGACGUUUUUUUACCGACGCUAAAAGAAAGCGUCGGGAAAAAUUUCACCGCCCAUGCAUUUGCCGACGCUUUCAUUAAGCGUCAGCAAUUCUUAGGAAUAGACGACGCUUAUUAGUGUCGUCGUAUAUUCCGGCCUAAAACGACGCUUAUAAGCGUCGUCAAAAGUCAAAUUCACAACAAAACCAGCGGCCGCCCCCCUCCUCAUUUUGCAUCCCAAUCGAUCAAGCCCUAGCUCCUCUGGCUCCUCCUCCCUCCUCUCCGACGACGAGCGACCAACCGACCCUUGUCCUCUCUGGCGCCGAGCGACGUCCGACACCAAGCUCCUCUCGUCCUCUCUCCUCUCCGGCACCGAGUGACCGGCCACCAGUACGGACACCACUUCGAGAGCUCAAAAAGCGAAGAGGCUCCGGACCAUCUACGACAAGCUCUUGCUCGAAGGUUUCUCUGCCGAUCAAAUCGAACAGGCUCUCUCUGCUCUCAAGGUUAUUUUUCUUUUCUCAUGUACAUUUUUUUCUCCUCAUAUCACAAACUUCCCUUUCUCAACUUGGGGUUCAAGAAACACAAAUUGGUUGAUUUUUCUGGAUUAUUUCUAGUUUCUAAUGUCCAAACCAGACCUAGACUUGAUCCAUAACCCAUGGGCUUUGAUGAAACUGUCUGCCAUGCGAUUAGAUAAAACGUAAAAGAGUACUAGAACUUACUUUUGAUUCUUGUCCAUGCGGCUUCAAGAAACAUGGACUGGUUUUUUUCUUUCGGAUUUCUUUUAACUAGUAUUUGUUCAUCAGUGAAGAGGUCAAUUAAUUCCCAGAAAGUGAGCAUUUUAGUUUCACUGAUAAGCAAGAAAGAGGGCAAAAUAGGGAUAUAUUGCACUUCCACAUAUAUAAGCUUGUUGGAGCCAAAAUUCAUCAACAUCAUAUGUUUUCUACUAUAUUAUUUGGUUUACUAGACGGUAAGUAACAUAAUUCAGUCGUCUCUAUUCAAGGAGUGAGCGCCAUUGUACCCAAUUCUACUGGAGAUACAUAGAGGACAAAUGUUUAGAUGCUUUAUAAGAAAAGCAAAUGAUACCUUCUGAUCUUUCUGACAGAACCUGUAUCUCAUGCACUCGAUGAGAGAGUUUCUUUCAGAUCCUUGCUUGACAUUUGCAUGCAUUUGUCGCCUGAGGCAUACAUCACAAGCUAGAGAAAUAAGAAGCUUCAAAUUUAUAAUUCCUCUUGCUGCAUUUCUAGAAGCAAGGAGUGAUGAGUAAUUCUGUGGACCAUUUCUGUCAACAAUUAGAUAAUAGCUCCGUGGGAAUUCACUCUACGCUUUCACGUUUAUCUGAACUCUUAAAAGGUAAUGAUGAAGAGCUAUGGCGACAUCUUGAGAACUUGAAGGUUAGUUGAUGGAACUACAUUCAUGAAUUUUCAUAUGCUGACACAUUUAACAGCUGUGUGCGCGUGUGCGUGUGUGCAUGUGUCUACAUAUACAAUCAUCUCUUGUCCUUUUGAUUCUUUAGCUCAUUGUUUAUUUUCCUUUUUUUUUUAUUAAUUGACAUUUUUAUUUGUACUUUUCUGCUUGCAUGGGGGCCUGUUACACACACACACACACACAGGAUUCGCCUAAAUAUGUAUUUUGUCAAAGUCCAUGGAUUCAUAUUUCCGUUAUAUCAUGUCAAGACAACUGCAGAGAUUGUAGAGAAUAAAGUUAGGAUCUUCUGAAGGUGCAUUGAAACCAAAAUAGGUAUUUGACUUCUGAAUAAAGUUAAGAGAUUGUGGUCAACUUCAUCUUUUUUAUGUUUAGCAUUUCCAAUGUCUGUUAAAGAUACCCUGCUUUUCAUUAAGGAUCCAGUUUCAUGCUUGUUAAUGGACUCUUCUUUAAUUCUCUUUUUUCCCGGGUGGUAACUGCAUGAAUUAAUAAGUUGUGGGCAUAUUGCUACAAGCCUAUUGUUUGCUUUUACUGAGACCUCGUGUUUGUUUAUUUCCAUCUGUUCUGUCAUGCUUCUCCCUUGGUAAGGAAACUGGAGAAACAUGGUCACAUUUAUCUGCAAUUAGAGUAUACAGAAUUAAUGUUAAAAUCUAUCAAUCAGUCAAACUGAAGUACAAAUCACAAAUAUAUCUAACUCUCUUGUAGAAUUAUUUUAUCACGAUGCUAGCCAUAUGGUGUUUUAUAUUUUGUUGGUUUUGUUAGGUUUUAAGUGUAGAUGACAAAAGUAAUUCCCUGCUAUUAUUUAAUACUUGGAUGGUUCAUUUAUUAUUACUUUAUGUAUUUUUUUUAUUUUACAUUUUGUAAUAUAACAUUUCUUUAUCCUUGAUUUUGAUUGAAGAUAGUGUAAUAUUUUUUGUUUUCCUAAAUAAUAUAUGGAUAUUUGCUUUUAACUUGUCAUGUCUGAUAAGAGGAUAUUCUUGAACAAGAGGGCUCCUGUUCAUUCAGUUCAUCACAUUCUGUUCCUCAAAGCAUUGUCUACAUUGCAAUCCGAGCUUCACAUUGCACGCUCUUUAUACGUUGGGCCAAUUGUAUCUGAUUAUAGUGUCCAGGUGCAGUUUUUCAGGUAACAACAUGCCCCGAGAAAAACGAUUCAGAGAUGUUGAGUUUCAGCACACAUCCGUGGGAUCUUCUUCCAAUCAGUCCCUACGGUCCCAGCAGCCCGACGAGCCCCAGCAGCACGAGUCCCAUUCUCAGCACGAGUUCCAUACUCAGCACAAGUCUCAGUCUGAGCACGUGUCACCUGCUGAUUGUCCAGACAUGGAUGACAUGGACUGGGAAGAGUGAGGAGGACACGAGGACCCACUCGAGCACGGGAUGUGUGGAAUCUACAUGAGGAUGAGAAGAUCGUUGUCCAUUGCAAUGAACUGGGGCAGCCCAUCAAGAGGGCUGCAAGCAUUUUAUCGACUUUUCUAGGAUCGGUUGCGCGGAAGGGUCAGUUGUGUCCGCUCAACUAUAUGAAAUGGAAUGAAAUGCUUUCUUCGUAUAAAGUUGAGCUUCUUAAAGUUAUUGAGCGUAAGUUUUUGCUUCCUAAAGAGAGCCAUGAUUGGGUGCUGAAGUCCGUCAACCGCAAGUGGAAAGAAUAUAGGACCAAGUUAAAGGCGGACUGGAAGUACGAUGGUAUGAUAGAAGAGGAGGUUGCCUAUGUUUGUCCUCCUGAUUAAUCCCUCAUCAGUGGAGGGAGCUUGUCCACUACUGGUUUUCCGAGAAAGCUCAGGUUGUGUAUAUUUUUUCAAUACUUUAGAUUGUACUUACUAAUAAUAUAGAUUACAAAUUUAUACAUUAAAUAUAUUAUAUUGUUUAUUCUUUUUUUGGAAAGACAUAUUCCAACAUUGGUAGAGCUGCACGAGCCUCUCAGACUGUUCCUCAUACUUCAGGCUCGAUGAGUUAUGCUAGGCGUAGAGCUGAAUUCAUGGAUGAUAAUGGGAGGGAGCCUGGUAAGGUGGAGUUUUAUAAGAUAGCUCACACCCACCGAGAUGACAGUUUUGUUUGGAAGGAGUCAAGAAAUAUAGUUGUAUGUAUUCAUCUUUGAAUCUUUCAACGAUAUUAUUAUUAGUUCUAUUAUUGGCAUACAUUAAUUUGACUUUUUCUUU